rnacentral:rRNA from 1 species
CGCACGGGUGCGUAACGCGUGGGAAUCUGCCCUUCGGUUCGGAAUAACAGUUAGAAAUGACUGCUAAUACCGGAUAAUGACGUAAGUCCAAAGAUUUAUCGCCGAAGGAUGAGCCCGCGUAAGAUUAGCUAGUUGGUGAGGUAAAGGCUCACCAAGGCUACGAUCUUUAGCUGGUCUGAGAGGAUGAUCAGCCACACUGGGACUGAGACACGGCCCAG